AACAACAUUAGCAAAGUAGUUUCCAUGACCUUCUAAUCUCAAACCUCCACGUCAAAGCCAUACUCUGUACAAUAAACGUUUCGAAGCCUAUGGGAAGGCUUCCGCCUUUACACCUAACAGCAAAUUUAAAAUACAUUAAUAUAAAACACAUAAGAAAUAUAAUAAUUUAUAGGUUUUAUACGGGUCAUGGUUUUGUGGGAUCAUCCUGACAUCGUAUUGCAUUAAGUAGAAAUCGAAUCAUCGGAGGCAAUCUCUUGGAGCUUCUUCAUCACCAUCGUCACAAAUCCUUUGUUUAUAUUCGUUCUCUUCACCAUCGCUGCGACUACCAUCAUAUGGAAUUUAAUAAUGCAUUUAUUAGCUAAUACAUACCUUUCUUAUCUA
rnacentral:lncRNA from 1 species